rnacentral:rRNA from 1 species
UAUACCUACGGGCGCAGCAGUAAGGAAUAUUGGUCAAUGGGCGCGAGCCUGAACCAGCCAAGUCGCGUGAGGUAAGACGGUCCUAUGGAUUGUAAACCUCUUUUGUCGGGGAGCAAAAGACGCCACGCGUGGCGUUCCGAGAGUACCCGAAGAAAAAGCAUCGGCUAACUCCGUGCCAGCAGCCGCGGUAAUACGGAGGAUGCGAGCGUUCUCCGGAUUUAUUGGGUUUAAUG